rnacentral:tRNA from 1 species
GGUGAGAUGGCUGAGCAAUAGGCGGUAGAUUGUAAAUUUAUUAACGAAAUAAUUAUUUCUUUCACCA